GAUGAACGCUAGCGGCAGGCUUAAUACAUGCAAGUCGUGGGGCAGCAGGUGUAGCAAUACAUGCUGGCGACCGGCAAACGGGUGCGGAACACGUACGCAACCUUCCUUUAACUGGAGAAUAGCCCCUCGAAAGAGGGAUUAAUACUCCGUAACAUCCCGACACAGCAUUGUGAUGGGAUUAUAGCUCCGGCGGUUAAAGAUGGGCGUGCGCCUGAUUAGGUAGUUGGCGGGGUAACGGCCCACCAAGCCUUCGAUCAGUAACUGGUGUGA
rnacentral:rRNA from 1 species